rnacentral:piRNA from 1 species
UUCAAGUUUGAUUUAUUUUUA